GAUGAAGAACGUAGCGAAAUGCGAUACGUAAUGUGAAUUGCAGAAUUCAGUGAAUCAUCGAAUCUUUGAACGCAUAUUGCGCUCUCUGGUAUUCCGGAGAGCAUGCUUGUUUGAGUAUCAGUAAACACCUCAACUUCCAUAUCUUUUUUGAAAUGGGAGUUGGACUUGAGUGAUCCCAACGCUUUUCCUCACCGAAAAGUGGCGGGUUACUUGAAAUGCAGGUGCAGCUGGACUUUUCUCUGAGCUAUAAGCAUAUCUAUUUAGUCUGCCUAAAAAACAGAUUAUUACCUUUGCUGCAGCUAACAUAAAGGAGAUUAGUUCUUGUGCUGACUGAUGCAGGAUUCACAAAGACGGCUUCGGCCGACUUUGUAAACUCGAUCUCAAAUCAAGAAAGACUACCCGCUGAACUUAAGCAUAUCAAUAAGCGGAGGA
rnacentral:misc_RNA from 1 species